UCCCCUGUGGUCCACUGGUUUAGGACUUGGCACUUCCAUUGCAGGAGGCCCAAGUUCAAUUCCUGGUCAGGGAA
rnacentral:tRNA from 1 species